rnacentral:rRNA from 1 species
CAGCAGCCGCGGGAAUACAGAGGGUGCGAGCGUUAAUCGGAUUUACUGGGCGUAAAGCGUGCGUAGGCGGCUAAUUGAGUCGGAUGUGAAAUCCCUGAGCUUAACUUAGGAAUUGCAUUCGAUACUGGGAAGCUAGAGUAUGGGAGAGGAUGGUAGAAUUCCAGGUGUAGCGGUGAAAUGCGUAGAGAUCUGGAGGAAUACCGAUGGCGAAGGCAGCCAUCUGGCCUAAUACUGACGCUGAGGUACGAAAGCAUGGGGAGCAAACAGGAUUAGAUACCCCGGUAGUCCCUGUCUCUUAUAC